rnacentral:rRNA from 1 species
AUUGAACGCUGGCGGCAUGCUUUACACAUGCAAGUCGAACGGUAACAGGUUAAGCUGACGAGUGGCGAACGGGUGAGUAAUGCAUCGGAACGUGCCCGGUCGUGGGGGAUAACGCAGCGAAAGUUGCGCUAAUACCGCAUACGAUCUGAGGAUGAAAGCGGGGGACCGUAAGGCCUCGCGCGAUCGGAGCGGCCGAUGUCAGAUUAGGUAGUUGGCGGGGUAAAGGCUCACCAAGCCAACGAUCUGUAGCUGGUCUGAGAGGACGACCAGCCACACUGGGACUGAGACACGGCCCAGACUCCCACGGGAGGCAGCAGUGGGGAAUUUUGGACAAUGGGCGAAAGCCUGAUCCAGCAAUGCCGCGUGCAGGAAGAAGGCCUUCGGGUUGUAAACUGCUUUUGUACGGAGCGAAAAGGUCUCCUCUAAUACAGGGGGCUCAUGACGGUACCGUAAGAAUAAGCACCGGCUAACUACGUGCCAGCCGCCGCCGUAA